GCCGUAGGUCGGAUCGGCUCCGGAGCAGCUUCCCUCGGGAAAUCACGUACCUUCAAGUCUACAAAAGAAGCAGGAGACUUCAAAGGGACCAAAGUUUUUCUGCUCUUGGGGAUCUUAUAGAGAAAUGGUGCAGUAUUUCAUGGAAAUCCCGCUCCUAGUUUGCACUUGACAGGUUUGACACAUUACUGCAAAAGUUAUGUCUCUACCAGAAUAUCCUAAUUGCUGAAGAACUACUUACAACAAAAAUUCCUGAUAAGCUACAGAGGUAUUACCACAUCCUCAGGCUUAUAAAUACCAAACAGUAUUAUUCAAGGAAAUGAAAAUACUGUAUUAGGAGUUAACUGAUUAAUUCAACAUUUAGAGAAGUUUGGUUCAAUGUACUGCAAAGUUAAUAUGUGCAAUACUGUAAAGCUUGAACAUGAACACCAUCUGUCCCUAUGUGUCCUGUGUGAGAUUAGAAUCUAAAAAAAACCAAAAUAUCCUGAAUUAUUUGCUGAAGUGACUAAUAAUUGUAACUCUUUUUUUCAUCAAAUAUGUUCAGUGAAAAAUAUCUCAAGGACUGGUGAAAAAAUGGAGGAAAAAGAUAAUUUUUUUAAUGUUUUAUUUUGGGAAUUUGAUAAUGUUCCUAUUCAUUGAAGAAUUAAAACACUGGUAACUUCUUAAUCUCGUUGGCAAACAUUUGACCUUGUAAACAUGUAAGAAGACAAUUAACUUUAUGUGUGCAAGCUGUCCCAAGGAACUGCUUGAACAGAGUGGUAAGCAAGGGAUUUUGAGCAAAUUUGGAGAAGGAGAGUAGAGUUCCUUCCACUAACAGAUGGCUUUGCAGCAGGUAACAGAAGAAGAUAAUGAGUAAUUGAGUGCAAUGACUAAGCUGCCUUGGACAGGUUGUGUUUUCUAUUCUGCUUCCCACUUCAUCUCUCCAUCUCCCUGUCUGUAAGGAUUCAACCACUAACCUACAUCUUGAUGAAGCCCUCGUCCUUAAAAUACUUCAAAGUGAAAAAAGAGAUUGCAGCAGCAUUAAGUAUAAUCUGAUAAUUGUGAAGGAGAAGGUUAGUGAUCUGGAAUGAAAAUAUCAACACAGUAUUUGAAGAAAAUAAAGCUUUUCUUGGGAUGACGUAGUUUGAGAGCCCUGCCAGAAACACUACAAAGAAAAUGAAACAGAUUGGUGAUUUGAUAAUGAACUGCUAAAGAGAAGUAGGAGGUCUUCUAUCUAGCUAGGAAUGUUACAUUUUUAUCAUGUAUUUGAUGAGUCAUAUAGUGAGAUAGCUGUUUUGGAAGGAUAAAACACAGUUACCAGGAACAUAUUUUGGGAAUGCUAUUUGGCGUGAAGAAGGGUACUAAGGGAAGUUAUUAAUGCGUGUUACAGAAGCAAGAAGUCGUCAAGAAUUCUGUAUUACAAAUAACAAAAAAGAAGUCUUUUCAAAAACAAAAUACAAGGUGUUCUACAUUCAUGUAAUGGAAGCCAUAACAGUAAGGUUUGUCACAAAGUAUAAAGUUAUUUUGCAUAACUUUAUAUAGGAUAGCUAUAUAACUAAGGUAUGGAAUAACUGCAUACUUAAAAAAAGCCUUUUCCAGUGUGAGUUCUGAAGGCAACUGCAUGGGUGAAAAAUAUGAGGUGUCUUUGCAGAUGUCCUUAUGGUUUCAUAAACAAGAGACAGCAGAAAAUACAAGAGGUGAACUGUUGUAUGUAUGAUGUGUGUGUGUUUUGGGGGAGAUACUGUGUUUUCACAAGAAAAACAUUCAAGUGAGCAAGUCAGCCUGUUCUCAUAGGAAAGCGCUGGUCUUCUCAG